GAUGAACGCUGGCGGCGUGCCUAAUACAUGCAAGUUGAGCGAAUGGAUUAAGAGCUUGCUCUUAUGAAGUUAGCGGCGGACGGGUGAGUAACACGUGGGUAACCUGCCCAUAAGCCUGGGAUAACUCCGGGAAAACGGAGCUAAUCCCGGAUAACAUUUUUAACUCCAUGGUUCGAAAUUGAAAGGCCGCUUCGGCUGUCACUUAUGGAUGGACCCGCGUCGCAUUAGCUAGUUGGUGAGGUAACGGCUCACCAAGGGAACGAUGCGUAGCCGACCUGAGAGGGUGAUCGGCCACACUGGGACUGAGACACGGCCCAGACUCCUACGGGAGGAAGCAGUAGGGAAUCUUCCGCAAUGGACGAAAGUCUGACGGAGCAACGCCGCGUGAGUGAUGAAGGCUUUCGGGUCGUAAAACUCUGUUGUUAGGGAAGAACAAGUGCUAGUUGAAUAAGCUGACACCUUGACGGUACCUAACCAGAAAGCCACGGCUAACUACGUGCCAGCCGCCGCAGUAA
rnacentral:rRNA from 1 species